CAGGAGACAGGCAGGAGGUCUGCCCUUCCCCAGCCGUUCUUCUGUCUGCAUUAGCCGUUCUUGCUCAGGCUCCAUCGACCUGUCAGAGCCAUCACAGUGAUUGACUGCCCCGGCAGAUGUGCUGCUAUAACAGGCACUGGAGAUGGAAGCUGGCUACCUGAGAUACUAGAGAAAUCACAAGCAACCAGAAGAUUUGCUCUGCAUAAGGUGACGGAACCAAAACAAUGAGGUCAAGUGAGUUACAGCAUGAUCAAUGAAGCAAAAAGCAGAACUCUCUCCUCUUAUGUUUAACCAAGAGCUCCAGAAAUAAUAAACUG
ensembl:lncRNA